CAUUAAUAAAUGAUAAAACAUUUUUCACUUCACUUUCCUCUUUCAGUUCUUCUCUUCUCCGUUAGCUUUCCUUUUCACGUUUCAAUACGCAGGUUUCUGAAGAACUGAAGAACCAAGGUGGAGAGAGGUGAACAUAGCUGAAGAACUGGUUCUCUUUUCCGAUACAUGAUGAAGAGUCGAAGAACUGAGAUGAUGAGAUGAAGUUUUCAAAGAAUUGGUAUCUCAAGUUGUCUUCUCCGAAGAACGAUUCCUUAAAGAAUCAAUUUUCCCAAUCUUUGUUCGAGUCCGAGAUUCUGCCCGAAAUUAUCAUCCGUCGUUAGUGUUGAAGUUUCUUGGUGAAAAUCGUUUCCCUGAUCAUCCAGUACUAAUUCACUGCCUGAAGAAAGAGAUUUUUGAUGAACCAAUGAGAUAAUGAACCAAAGUUAAGAGAGGUGAAGACAACUGAAGAAUCGAUUCACUUUUCCAUUACAUGCUAAAAGAGUGGAAGUCGUCGAAGAAUUAGUUGAAUAGUUGAAUUGAUCGAUGAACUGUUGCUGAAGUCGUCAUCUCCAAUAACAAUUUCUUGAAGAGUAAGUAUGAUUCUCUUUUCCGAUUCCUAUUUCAUAAAGUCUUAAUACUAGAACAUUUUUCUUCUUAGCUAAAGUAACUGAUUUUUUAUUUUGUGUUUAGAAGGAAUUGAAUACUUUUGGGUUGUUUGUAAGAUGAUGAACUGAAGCUAAUUAGUCUCUUUCACACUUUUCUCUCAAGUUUCUCAUUAUAGAGCACGAUUUUAGACAAAUUUUGUUGGGAUAUGGUUUAUCAGAAGUAUAAUCAAAAUUCAAAAACAUUUGUGGAGGAUUCAAGAUCUGAUUUGCCAUAGCAAAAGUGUCAUGACUAGGAAUUCACAUAUCACAUCCAAGGAUUGGAUGAAUUUAGCAAGGUAUAGUCAAGAGUACAUCGAUUGCGUUGAAUCAUUUCUAGAUUUUUCUUACUCUUAUGGAUAUCCUCAAGGAGAGGAAAUUCAGUGUCCUUGUGCAAAAUGUUGUAAUAUUCAUUGGACUAGAAGGAAUAAAGUGUAUCAUCUUAUAUGCUAUGGAUUCGUUAAAGUCUAUACUCAAUGGAUCAAUCAAGGGGAAUGGGAUAUCAAGUUGAAUGUUGACGAUUAUAUGGAUUACUCAGGUGAUGAUAUUGAUGGGUUGUUGAAUGAUCAAUUUAGAGAUGUUGCACAGGCUGAAGGAGUUUAUGAUGGUGCAAUUGAAGAUGCCAAGAAAUUCUACAACUUUGUUAAAGAGGCAAGCUAAGAAUUAUAUCCUGGUUGUACAGGAUUCUUUAAAUUAUCAUUCAAACUUUGUUUAUAUUUGUUAAAGUAUCUACAUGGAAGGAGCAAUGCAUCAUUCACUUAUCUUUUAGAGUCAUUAAAAGAGGCGAUGCCCGAGUUGAACAUU